UACGGUGCUGAAGCGACAAAUGCCCUGCUUCCAGGAAAAGCCUCUAAGCAUCAGGUAACAUCAAAUCGUACCCCAAACCGACACAGGUGGUCAGGUAGAGAAUACCAAGGCGCUUGAGAGAACUCGGGUGAAGGAACUAGGCAAAAUGGUGCCGUAACUUCGGGAGAAGGCACGCUGAUAUGUAGGUGAAGCGACUUGCUCGUGGAGCUGAAAUCAGUCGAAGAUACCAGCUGGCUGCAACUGUUUAUUAAAAACACAGCACUGUGCAAACACGAAAGUGGACGUAUACGGUGUGACGCCUGCCCGGUGCCGGAAGGUUAAUUGAUGGGGUUAGCGGUAACGCGAAGCUCUUGAUCGAAGCCCCGGUAAACGGCGGCCGUAACUAUAACGGUCCUAAGGUAGCGAAAUUCCUUGUCGGGUAAGUUCCGACCUGCACGAAUGGCGUAAUGAUGGCCAGGCUGUCUCCACCCGAGACUCAGUGAAAUUGAACUCGCUGUGAAGAUGCAGUGUACCCGCGGCAAGACGGAAAGACCCCGUGAACCUUUACUAUAGCUUGACACUGAACAUUGAGCCUUGAUGUGUAGGAUAGGUGGGAGGCUUUGAAGUGUGGACGCCAGUCUGCAUGGAGCCGACCUUGAAAUACCACCCUUUAAUGUUUGAUGUUCUAACGUGGGCCCCUUACCGGGGUUGCGGACAGUGUCUGGUGGGUAGUUUGACUGGGGCGGUCUCCUCCUAAAGAGUAACGGAGGAGCACGAAGGUUGGCUAAUCCUGGUCGGACAUCAGGAGGUUAGUGCAAUGGCAUAAGCCAGCUUGACUGCGAGCGUGACGGCGCGAGCAGGUGCGAAAGCAGGUCAUAGUGAUCCGGUGGUUCUGAAUGGAAGGGCCAUCGCUCAACGGAUAAAAGGUACUCCGGGGAUAACAGGCUGAUACCGCCCAAGAGUUCAUAUCGACGGCGGUGUUUGGCACCUCGAUGUCGGCUCAUCACAUCCUGGGGCUGAAGUAGGUCCCAAGGGUAUGGCUGUUCGCCAUUUAAAGUGGUACGCGAGCUGGGUUUAGAACGUCGUGAGACAGUUCGGUCCCUAUCUGCCGUGGGCGCUGGAGAACUGAGGGGGGCUGCUCCUAGUACGAGAGGACCGGAGUGGACGCAUCACUGGUGUUCGGGUUGUCAUGCCAAUGGCACUGCCCGGUAGCUAAAUGCGGAAGAGAUAAGUGCUGAAAGCAUCUAAGCACGAAACUUGCCCCGAGAUGAGUUCUCCCUGACUCCUUGAGAGUCCUGAAGGAACGUUGAAGACGACGACGUUGAUAGGCCGGGUGUGUAAGCGCAGCGAUGCGUUGAGCUAACCGGUACUAAUGAACCGUGAGGCUUAACCUUACAACGCCGAAG
rnacentral:rRNA from 1 species